UCUUAUGGAUGAGCAAAGAAAGUGGUUUCUUGAGAUAGAAUCUACUCCUGGUGAAGCUGCUGCGAA
rnacentral:pre_miRNA from 1 species